UGGGGAAUUUUGGACAAUGGGGGAAACCCUGAUCCAGCCAUCCCGCGUGUGGGAUGAAGGCCUUCGGGUUGUAAAGCACUUUUGGCAGGGAAGAAACGUCAUGGGCUAAUACCCCGUGAAACUGACGGUACCUGCAGAAUAAGCACCGGCUAACUACGUUGCAGCAGCCGCGGUAAUACGGAGGGUGCAAGCGUUAAUCGGAAUUACUGGGCGUAAAGGGUGCGCAGGCGGUUCGGAAAGGAAGAUGUGAAAUCCCAGGGCUCAACUGUGGAACUGCAUUUUUAACUACCGGGCUGGAGUGUGUCAGAGGGAGGUGGAAUUCCGCGUGUAGCAGUGAAAUGCGUAGAUAUGCAGAGGAACACCGGUGGCGAAGGCAGCCUCCUGGGAUAUACCUGACGCUGAGGCACGAAAGCGUGGGGAGCAAACAGG
rnacentral:rRNA from 1 species